rnacentral:rRNA from 1 species
CCCUUAGAUGUUCUGGGCCGCACGCGCGCUACACUGACGAAUGCAACGAGCUUAUAACCUUGGCCGAAAGGUCUGGGUAAUCUCCAAAUUUCGUCGUGAUGGGGAUAGAUUAUUGCAAUUAUUAAUCUUAAACGAGGAAUGCCUAGUAAGCGCAAGUCAUCAGCUUGCGUUGAUUACGUCCCUGCCCUUUGUACACACCGCCCGUCGCUCCUACCGAUUGAAUGGUCCGGUGAAGCGUUCGGACCGUGGCCUUUGGACGGUUCGCCGUCUGUUGGCUGCGGGAAGUUCGUUAAACCUUAUCAUUUAGAGGAAGGAGAAGUCGUAACA